rnacentral:lncRNA from 1 species
CGAUCGGGCAAGAAGCUUUUGACGCGUGAUUCUUUACGUGCUGCCUUUUUGUUGCAAUAUGGCGAUACGCAACGCAACACGGCUAUGGCCGCCCGCGAUAGGUUGCAUGCGAACGAACACGCCAUGAAAGCAACUGAAACAGUGCCCGAAUAUACUCAACGUUUUCACGAUAUAAUUCGUGAAGCGAAAGAUAUGAACCCUAGCGAUCAAAUCGGCUGGUACGUUAAGGGGUUACUACCACCUUUGCGCAGCCGAUGUGCGACAAGCGAAGAGGGCAAAGAUUGGGACAGCUUAGAUAAGCUAAUCCUUUACGCUGUUGGGCAAGAAGUUCGAUGGCAGUCGGGCAAAGACAAGCCUACCGUCCAUGCAGUUAGCGCUGACCUUAAUGCGAUCACUGCUAAAAAGCCCUUCAAUAAAUUUAAGCGUUCGUCCUCUGAUCGCAAUUCGCAGGGUUGGCAACCCGCCAAUCGGCCCAAGAAGGCGCGUCUGGAGCAAGAACAGCUGGCGGCACACACUUGCCGCAAAUGCCGUCGCGUGAAGCCCGCCCACCAGAGCUGGGCGGAGCACAAGCCCGACUGCAUUCGACACCUCAAGGCUAACGCCGAGAAGACGCUGUCCCUUGCCGCGAAGAUGGAGAAUGCCAUGGCUGAUUAGCGGGUCGGCAAGCGUGUUGUUGGGGGCUGUGAGCAACCGGAAUGUCCUAAGGACUCGGCUAGCUUGCAAAUCAGAGAGUCCUUGUUGCCCGUUUGUGAUCCGCUUAGCUGUGAUCACAUGUUCCUCCCGGACGAGUUUCGUAACGUGAAGACAUGUUGGGACGGCAGUUCACCUUUGACGCUGCUUGUAACAACUCUGGCGACAAUAGUCUUUGUACACGCUUUGCCUCCCCUUCAAAUUCGUUCUUGACCUCCGAUGUCUCUGGCGAGUUUGUCUGGGCAAAUCCCCCAUACACAAAAAUUGAGCUUUGGCAUAAGCAUUACCUGCGCUGCAAGCGUAUGCGUCCCGAAACCACUUCAGCGGUUUUUGUAGUACCGAAAUGGUCUCAAAUUGAAAGACGCAUGCGAGCGGCAGGACACCAGCUGCUAAAAACAUAUGCCGUAGGGACGAAACUGUUCUUAGAGAAAGCAGACGAUGGUAGUCGUCAGGAAAUGCCCGGUAUCCCGUGGCCUAUCCAGCUUUGGUAUGACCCGCCAGCUAAAGAGGUUCAGCUGAACAGUAUUGGCUCCUCACAGUCCAUGAUUUUUGGCGCAUUCUUAUGCCAAACGCCUUGCAGCGCACUUAUCGAUUCCGGUGCUGACUGCAAGGGCACGGCUGAUGGAUUCAUCUCCUCCGAGGCAGCUCGCAAAAUGGGGCUCGCUAUUCGGCCGUGUCNNNNNNNNNNNNNNNNNNNNNNNNNNNNNNNNNNNNNNNNNNNNNNNNNNUGCAGAUUAUCAGCAAGUGGCUGCGUCUUCCUUGGCUGGCAUUUUGUCCAAAGAGAGUCUUCAGGUUACCGCUUUCCAGGCGGCCCUGGACUCCCUGACGAUAGAGCCGGAGAUCACCUUGGAGGAGGUCCGGAAACUUUGGGACACCGGUGCGGUGGAGAGCGGCCCUGGCGGUAGCGCUACGGACUCCGACUCCGCGCGGCCUGCGCUACAGCCCACGGGCAAAACGCCGCGUACCGAGGUGAGUACGCAGAAACGCGUUCCGCUUCCCCCAAAAUUUUCGGGAAAAAGGGAUACGCAUAUUACUUGCACCCGAUCGUGGUUCGAGUUCCUUUUGCAAUACUUAGACUUAAUGCAAAUGGACCCGUUAGAGCACUUUGUCUACUUCGUAUCGGGCAAAGCUCUAGUCUGGGCCACGGACAUUUUCGGGGAGCACCGAUCGGGCAAGAAGCUUUUGACGCGUGAUUCUUUACGUGCUGCCUUUUUGUUGCAAUAUGGCGAUACGCAACGCAACACGGCUAUGGCCGCCCGCGAUAGGUUGCAUGCGAACGAACACGCCAUGAAAGCAACUGAAACAGUGCCCGAAUAUACUCAACGUUUUCACGAUAUAAUUCGUGAAGCGAAAGAUAUGAACCCUAGCGAUCAAAUCGGCUGGUACGUUAAGGGGUUACUACCACCUUUGCGCAGCCGAUGUGCGACAAGCGAAGAGGGCAAAGAUUGGGACAGCUUAGAUAAGCUAAUCCUUUACGCUGUUGGGCAAGAAGUUCGAUGGCAGUCGGGCAAAGACAAGCCUACCGUCCAUGCAGUUAGCGCUGACCUUAAUGCGAUCACUGCUAAAAAGCCCUUCAAUAAAUUUAAGCGUUCGUCCUCUGAUCGCAAUUCGCAG